GCCGAUGUCCGGGCUGAAUCGGACAACCUCUGCUGACCUGCCCUGCUGCUCCCAUGCCUGCCCCCGUGGGCUGGGAGGGCUGCGCUUCUGCUUGGGGCUGCCGUUCACAGCAGUGCCUCAGCACCCUCCUGAACCACGGCCGUGCACCUCUGGUGUUUUGUAUUCCGCUUUAGUUUAUUUGCAAGAAUGUGUGGAGAAGCUUUUUAGGAUGUUUAGGAAUGUCGGCCAGCAUUUUCCAGUCUUUGAAGGCCCCUUUAAAAAACUUAUAAGCUGCUAUCUGGGAAGCAGGUACAGCAUUGAAAGGUCAGACUUGGCCACUGACAGCAUCUGGGACUUGCUGCAUCCUCUGGCUUUGAAGCUUUCUAAGCUUCGUGCAGCCAUCUCCACUGAAAGUCUGCUCAAGGCCCGUGUUUGUGUUAUCAUCGGGCUGAAGUGAUACCAAAAAGAUAUUCAAUAAUAGCUUUGUCUGUGCUGCUGUCGUUAGGAUCCACAGCUGCACUUUAUGUGCACGCUAUGCGCUUGGGUAGAUGUCUCCCCAAAAGACAAUCUUGGUGAAUCAUGAGAUCUUUGGUGGGAAUGAACAGAACGACGCAUUUAUUAAUACGGGGUAACAGAUGGACCAGCUAGUUUAGCAGCUGGGUUUCCAGUCAUUACUCAUGCAGAUCAAAGUGAAGAAUGAUAUAUCUAAAGAAAGCAGUAGGAGUUGACGCCUCCUGAAGCUGAGCUCCAGUUGAGCAAUCCCUUGGAAAUUUCAGAAAGCUCCUUUUAGAAAUCUCCUACCACGACUUGAACAUACCAUGAAGCUGUCACGGACUUCUUGGAAAUCCUGGAAGACCCUGAAAUCUCUUUCUGCACUUGUGCACAAGCAGUUCCAGCCUUGUGCUGCAGUUGAUAUCGUGCAUUAAAUAAUUCCCACAGCUAGCAGGGCAGAGAAACAUCGUACACAGUUUAUUCAAGGUGGUGCAGAACAGAACAGCUGCCCAGGUUCUGCCAGGAUGCAGUAAUGCAAGCACAGCCAGCACACAGAAGGAAAGAGAGAGAAGCGCGAACCGUAAAGAACUGCUGCCUCAGAGCUGCUGUUGCCAUAGAGCUUCUAAUGAGGAAAAAAACUGCAGCAAGGAUUUCUGCUGCUGCUG